UUGUUAAGGUAACUAAUAAUGUAAACAAAGUUUUCAAAGAGGACUGUCCUUACAGCAGUUUACUAUCAAAAACAUCAAGAGUAUCUUGUCUCCCUACACUGGAGUAUAAUGAUUUAACACCUGUCAAUUUUUUUACUUUUAACAUUACAAACAUAAACAGACAACAAGAUAAAAACUCCCAAAACAAUAUCCAGGGGCCGGAGCAGUCUUCUCUUGGUAAAUCAAUAGAAGUUAAUGCGUUAUUUAUUAUAA